rnacentral:rRNA from 1 species
UACGGGGGGGGCGAGCGUUGUUCGGAAUUACUGGGCGUAAAGGGCUCGUAGGCGGCCAACUAAGUCAGACGUGAAAUCCCUCGGCUUAACCGAGGAACUGCGUCUGAGACUGGAUGGCUUGAGAUCGGGAGAGGGAUGCGGAAUUCCAGGUGUAGCGGUGAAAUGCGUAGAUAUCUGGAGGAACACCGGUGGCGAAGGCGGCAUCCUGGACCGACACUGACGCUGAGGAGCGAAAGCGUGGGGAGCAAACAGG